GAGGAACGAAGUGAUAAGCUGUGAGGGUACAGAGGUGUGCAAACAUGUCCUUCUGAGAGGUAAGUCAUUUUUUGUGAUUUUUCUAAUGAUGUUUAGGUUCCUUUUAAGCUGUUCACUUAUUCCCAACUCCCUUUCCAAAAUAGAAACAAAUCGAGCUCAAACAGGCUCUAUUUUUGCUGCACCUUCAAACAGUGCAGGUAUGUUAGCCUUCCUUCCCCUUUUCUGAUUUUGAUUCUUAAAUUGAUUAUGUUUCUAAGGUUCAUUUAGGUUUUUAUAAGGGUCUACCUUCAUUUAAUCUAAACUUUAGUGACAAUUCUACUUUUAGAAAUCGCUAGUUUCAUAAAAACAAACUGUAACCCACUAUUGACAGUGUAGGCAACCCGUCUGUGUUUUCUAGUCAUUGGAAGUUGAUUUGUUCAUGCGUGUAGAUUAUUUUUGAAUUCUUUAGGAAGGUGAUACCUUUAGUAAUAUAUUUUAUGCAUGCAAUGGUAUUUUAUAGACGCAUUAUGAACAAUUUAGUUUUCAAAUCUGAUCUCUAUUGUGGCUUUAGGAUUGAAUGGAUGUGUGU
rnacentral:lncRNA from 1 species